GGGGAUGUAGUUUAGUGGUAAAACGGAAAGCCCGCAAUAGCAGGAUGUGUUCCUUUCAGCCCGGCGUUCGAUUCGCCGUAUCUCCA